rnacentral:tRNA from 1 species
GGGGUUGUAACUCAUCUGAUAGAGUACUUGCCUGGCAUGCCUGAAGCCCUGGGUUCAAUACCCAGCACCUCA